AUUGAACGCUGGCGGCAGGCCUAACACAUGCAAGUCGAACGAGUGGCGGACGGGGGAGUAUUGUCUCGGGAACUGCCCGAUGGGGGGGGAUAAAUACUGGAGACGGUAGAUAAUACCGCAUACCAUCGGAUGUGCCCAGAUGGGAUUCGCUCGUAGGUGGGGUAACGGCUCACCUAGUGGACGAUCCCUAGCUGGUCUGAGAGGAUGACCAUCCACACUGGAACUGAGACACGGUCCAGACUCCUACGUGAGGCAGCAGUGGGGAAUAUUGCACAAUGGGCGCAAGCCUGAUGCAGCCAUGCCGCGUGUAUGAAGAAGGCCUUCGGGUUGUAAAGUACUUUCAGCGAGGAGGCGUUACUCGCAGAAGAAGCACCGGCUAACUCCGUGCCAGCAGCCGCGGUAAUAC
rnacentral:rRNA from 1 species